rnacentral:rRNA from 1 species
GACGUAGGGCGCGAGCGUUGUCCGGAUUUAUUGGGCGUAAAGAGCUCGUAGGCGGCUUGUCGCGUCGACCGUGAAAACUUGGGGCUCAACCCCAAGCCUGCGGUCGAUACGGGCAGGCUCGAGUUCGGUAGGGGAGACUGGAAUUCCUGGUGUAGCGGUGAAAUGCGCAGAUAUCAGGAGGAACACCGAUGGCGAAGGCAGGUCUCUGGGCCGAUACUGACGCUGAGGAGCGAAAGCAUGGGGAGCGAACAGG